UGAGGAAUAUUGGUCAAUGGCCGGAAGGCUGAACCAGCCAAGUCGCGUGAGGGACGACUGCCCUAUGGGUUGUAAACCUCUUUUAUAAGGGAAGAAUAAUUGCUACGUGUAGCAUGAUGCCUGUACCUUAUGAAUAAGCAUCGGCUAACUCCGUGCCAGCAGCCGCGGUAAUACGGAGGAUGCGAGCGUUAUCCGGAUUUAUUGGGUUUAAAGGGUGCGUAGGCGGUUUUUUAAGUUAGUGGUUAAACGUCGGGGCUUCACCUUGAUUUGCCAUUAAUACUGUAAGACUCGAGUUCAGACGAGGUAGGCGGAAUAAGUUAAGUAGCGGUGAAAUGCUUAGAUAUAACUUAGAACUCCGAUAGCGAAGGCAGCUUACCAGACUGCGACUGACGCUGAAGCACGAGAGCGUGGGUAGCGAACAGG
rnacentral:rRNA from 1 species